GGUUAUGGCUCAGUGGUAAAGUGCUCACCUCCUACGUGCAAGGCCCUGGGUUCAAUCCUCAGCACCA
rnacentral:tRNA from 1 species